UAGACGGAUGCUCGCUGGUUAGGGCGUUUAGCUGUUAACUAAUUUUUUGUAGGAUCGAGGCCUUCCCGUCUAG
rnacentral:tRNA from 2 species